GCCCAGAAGGUUACUCAAGCCCAGUCAUCAGUAUCCAUGCCAGUGAGGAAAGCAGUCACCCUGAACUGCCUGGUUCUGAUGAACAGAAUGCAAAAAGUGGUCGCUAUUCUGUCAACUUCAAGAAAGCAGCGAAAUCCGUCGCCUUAACCAUUUCAGCCUUACAGCUAGAAGAUUCAGCAAAGUACUUUUGUGCUCUUGGGGAA
rnacentral:lncRNA from 1 species